UGAGUUUGUAAAUUUGGAGCAGGGAUUUUGAUUCAUUCUCUUUCUAGCCGUGAUUAAUGCACCUUAAUUAGCUAAUCUCGAAACCCUAAUUUACAACCGGUGUGGACAAAGAGAAACGCAGAUGAACCAGCACUUAAGUCAAUUUGACAUUAUUGGGAGGAAGGAGCCGAGCGGGAAGAGCAGGCGCUUGGCUGUCGGCGAAUGGGCAUCUGUUAUAGACUUUGUGCCACCUUCCCAAAAUAAAUCCUUGCCAGAAGAUCUCUGCCCCUUCCCCACCCCUCUCCGCAAAACAGAAUCUCCUUCUAGGGUUGCGGGCGGGAAUUGGGCAGCCUUAUCUGGAUUUCUGUUAAAGGGGGGGGGGGAAGCAAAAUCUAAGGGAGACGGAGAGUAUUGCGAGCAAAGCUAGGGCCGUGGCGGCCGUAUUCCUGAUUCCCGGAAGGCGAAAUCUUGAGAAAGUCGUUGGGUUUUGCUCCGGAACGAAAACGACGUCUGACCCUGUUACUUCUCUGAGUUCUCGGAGUUCUUCACGUUCGCUUCUGCUCUAUUAUUAUUAUUGUUCUGCUUAAAGGAAGACGGAACCGUGAUGCAGGCCAACGGUGAUUCCCCCCCAUUUCCAUCGCCUUGUGCCGACUUAAUUCGGGGAUUCAACCCUGCCAAAAAAGUGCAACUCUCGGACUCAAAGUGGAACCCGGGGGAAGCACUCCAAUUAUGUCCUCCGACUGGUGUUCCCCUUCUCUCAGCGUCCCAAACAGCGUGCUCUGAAUGGAUUCUAUUGAGGAAACGAAAGAAAGAAAAGUCGACAUUUUAUUUCGCUCAAUCCAAGUCAAGCCGAGUUCUCCCUAACAGGAGCCCACUUCAAGAAAGAAACCCCAGCCUUUAGUUGUUGAAAUAGCAGUGACGGUGGUGGUAACCACGAAAAAUACUUGGGGAAGGGAAGUUGGCUAGAAAAAAACAACAACGACUCCUUAAUGUA